rnacentral:lncRNA from 1 species
CCGAUCCUGGUUAUGUUGAGAUAGCCCCAGACCAUCACGUCAAUUGCCCAGCAAUUUGACGAACGUGCAGCUUUGCUCCGGCUAAAAUGACCACACCAGGCUACACUGAACUAGCUGAAGGGCCUUGACACCGGAAGUAUGAGAGAGAAGGUGCAAACAUAUAUGAGAUGCUGCCAACAAUCGUUUUGACCGUCCUCCCUUCCCUGAGGGUUGCAGAAUCAGAUCAGCUGAGCUUGGCAGCCCAACGAUCGACUAUCCCAUACCGUCGAAAGAACAGAAGCGUGGCCCAAAAUUUUCAUCCUUGAGCUACCAGAACACCCUUUUCGCACCUGCAGAAAGUUGCCCUACUACAAUGCAACAAGCAAUUAUGCAGCAGAGGUUUGGCAAAAGCACCUUAUGCCCAUGCAGCUACCAUGUAAAGA